rnacentral:lncRNA from 1 species
CUUAAAUUGUAAAAUAAUGAUUUUGUUUAUGCAUGAUUUGUUGAGCACAAAAUGUGAAAGUGUUUUUUUGAUAAAACCGAAAGUUGAGGAUAUUUAGGGUUAACCUUAUGUUGCAUAUAUUGAAAUGAAAAUAAAAGAGAUGUUGUGAACUUGCCAGUUCUGUUUAACAACAUUCCUUCAGCGCCUGCAUACGGAUCAUAUAUUUACAUGUUGAU